rnacentral:lncRNA from 1 species
GCAGAGACACAGGCAGAGAGAGAAGCAGGCUCCACGCAGGGAGCCCGACGUGGGCCUUGAUCUUGGGCCCCCAGGGUAAGGCCCUGGGCGGAAGGCAGGCACCAAACAGCUGAGCCACCCAGGGUUCCCGCUUUUAAUAUUUUAAUUUAAGGUAAUGUAUCCACAAUGUCAUUUCAACAACUGAUCAGUAUAAAAAAUCAUUAAUAACCAUUUUACAUUCUUUUUUGAUAACAAAUGUUUAAAAUCCAGUGUGCAUCUUAUACUUACGGCACAUCUAAACUCAGGGUAGCCUGAAUGAAAUAGCCACAUGUGGCUGCUUGGGGCUACCUUACCAGACAGUGUACGAGGGCCUUGGUUUUCCAAGGUUACUUCAAGGAGUGUCACUGUUUGUGAAACUUGCGUGGACCUUGGGAGAAAUGAGAAACAUAAGCUGACUUUACUCGAUUGAUUGAUUGGUUGGUUGAUUGAUUGAUGUAUUUACUUACUUUAGAGGGUGUGUGCAUGCAGAUGCGUGUGCUCUCGUGCCCCUGCACACAGGCAGGGGGAGGGGCAGAAGGAAAGGGCAAGGGAGAGAGAAGCAGGCUCCCCGCUGAGUGCAGAGCCCAGCACCCCAGAUUCCCCUACUGGGAGAUCAUGACUUGAGCCCAAAUCAGGAGUCAGAUGCUCAACUGACUCAGCCACGCAGGCUCCCCUGAGUUUAUUCAAUUUAAAUGAUGCUCUUUUAUUCUGAGGUUAUCUUUCCUCAUUUUUGCUCUUGAAAUGGCCUCUCUUUAAUGCAGCACUUUUCAAAGUGUGGUUCCCCAGGCCAGCAGUAUCAGCAUCAGGUGGGAACUUGUUAGAAAUCCAAAUUCUUGGGAUCCCUGGAUGGCGCAGCGGUUUGGUGCCUGCCUUUGGCCCAGGGUGCAAUCCUGUAGACCCAGGAUCGAGUCCCACAUCGGGCUCCUGGUGCAUGGAGCCUGCUUCUCCCUCUGCCUGUGUCUCUGCCUCUCUCCCUCUCUCCGUGUGACUAUCAUAAAUUAAAAAAAAAAAAAAAGCAAAUUCUUGGGCCCUAUUUCAGUCCUGCUGAAUUAGCAGCUCUGCAGGUAGGGUUUAGCAUCUGUGUCCUAACAGCCCUCCAGGCGUUCUGAUGCAUGCUCAUGUUCGAGAACCACUGCUUUCAUGAAAGGAUGGUGGUAAAAUAAGGGGUAGGUUUUAAUGCUUUUUUAUAACUGUAAUUGGCAAAAUAAGAAAUUGAAAACAUUUUGCUAGUCCUUCAAUUAAAACAUGUAAUUUUUGUUAGUUUAUGAAAUCUGAAAGUCAGAAGACUGAUGUACUGGAGAUUAGUUAAAUAAUAUUUUGUGCUGCUGUGGAUAAUAAGUAGUUCAAAAAAUAAGGCCAGGAAAACGAAUGUGUAUAUAAGCAUACAAAUGAGUUCCAGAAAGUCAAUGCUUGAUUCUCAUUAGUAACACCUUCAUGCAAUUACUGUGGAAAAUGAAUACACUCACUAAAUACUUGCUAAGAAAAAAAAAAUACUUGCUAAGAAAAGGCACAUUUCCUAUGCAAAAUAGUGAAAUUAGUCAGAAGAAAAAUUCCAUAAAUAUUGAUGAUCUCAUUCUCUAGUUCUCUGGUAAUUAGUUAGUAUUUGGCUUUUAUUGCUACAAAAGUUGUUCUACAAAAAUUAUAACAUCUGAUCCUUAAAAAAGUCAGGAAACAAAACCUUUUACAAAUUGUGUAUUUAUUUCGUUUCAGAAACGUUACCAAAUAAGGCAUAGUGUUAACCAUCUUACAUUUGAUUCCUGCAGCCAACUGAGGGCUGGGGUAAUAUUGAAAUGGGAUAGAGUAGGUGAAAUAGGAAAGAUAACAAAAGGAAUUAAGCAUGAAUGAUUUGACAAGUACAACCAAAAGAAAAA